AGAGUUUGAUCAUGGCUCAGGAUGAACGCUGGCGGCGUGCCUAACACAUGCAAGUCGAACGGAGUUAUUUUUAUGAAGUCUUCGGAUGGAUUAAUAAUAACUUAGUGGCGGACGGGUGAGUAACGCGUGGGUAACCUACCUCAUACAGGGGGAUAACAGCCGGAAACGGCUGCUAACACCGCAUAAGAUCGUAGUGCCGCAUGGCAUAGCGAUUAAAUAUUUUAUAGGUAUGAGAUGGGCCCGCGUCUGAUUAGCUAGUUGGUGAGGUAAAGGCUCACCAAGGCGACGAUCAGUAGCCGGCUUGAGAGAGUGACCGGCCACAUUGGGACUGAGACACGGCCCAAACUCCUACGGGAGGCAGCAGUGGGGAAUAUUGCACAAUGGGGGAAACCCUGAUGCAGCGACGCCGCGUGAGUGAAGAAGUACUUCGGUAUGUAAAGCUCUAUCAGCAGGGAAGAAGAUGACGGUACCUGACUAAGAAGCCCCGGCUAACUACGUGCCAGCAGCCGCGGUAAUACGUAGGGGGCAAGCGUUAUCCGGAUUUACUGGGUGUAAAGGGAGCGUAGGUGGUGCGGCAAGUCAGAUGUGAAAGCCCGGGGCUCAACCCCGGGACUGCAUUUGAAACUGUCGUGCUAGAGUGCAGGAGAGGUAAGUGGAAUUCCUAGUGUAGCGGUGAAAUGCGUAGAUAUUAGGAGGAACACCAGUGGCGAAGGCGGCUUACUGGACUGUAACUGACACUGAGGCUCGAAAGCGUGGGGAGCAAACAGGAUUAGAUACCCUGGUAGUCCACGCUGUAAACGAUGAAUACUAGGUGUCGGGGGUCAAAAGACCUUCGGUGCCGUCGCUAACGCAAUAAGUAUUCCACCUGGGGAGUACGUUCGCAAGAAUGAAACUCAAAUGAAUUGACGG
rnacentral:rRNA from 1 species